AUCGAACGCUGGCGGCAGGCCUAACACAUGCAAGUCGAGCGAGCGGCGGACGGGUGAGUAAUGCCUGGGAAUUGCCCAGUCGAGGGGGAUAACAGUUGGAAACGACUGCUAAUACCGCCUACGAUUGGAUUGCCUCGGGGGGAUUAGCUAGUUGGUGAGGUAAUGGCUCACCAAGGCGACGAUCCCUAGCUGGUCUGAGAGGAGGAUCAGGCGCACUGGAACAGAGACACGGUCCAGACUCGUACGGGAGUCAGCAGUGGAGAAUAUUGCACAAUGGAGGAAACCCUGAUGCAGGCAUGCAGCGGAGGUGAAGAAGGCCUUCAGGUUGUAGAGCACUUACAGCGAGGAGGCGUUGCUCGCAGAAGAAGCACCGGGUAACUCCGUGCCAGCAGCCGCGGUAAUUC
rnacentral:rRNA from 1 species